AUGAACUUCCCUUCUCCCCCUGCUCGGGACGCCAGCAAGUCCGGAGCAAGAGCUCGCGAUCUGCAGUUCCUUCCUUCCAUGGAUGACCACGAAGACCUCUGCGUGCUGUGCUGCUGCUCGGGACCCUCCCUAUGCUUCUCAUCGCUCGUCCGGGUCCAGGUUAGUCUCUCCGACCCCUGCUUGUCCCCGUCAAAUCGGUGCAUAGCCUCAUUUUAUUCUGCAGUCUGUAUCCUUUCAGCUUGUAUACUUUAUUCUUAUUGUGGAGAAAUUUCUUUUGUGAUGCAACUAAUGGGGACAUACAAAAAACACAUAAUGUCGAUUGCUUUGAGUAAGAAGGUAUACCCAUCUGUCUGCAGUCUGCUCUUAAUACACUCUUCCCUUGGCCAUGCACUGAUGUUUAAGUCUUUCCACUUAUCAGAUUUUAGUUCCAUUUGA
rnacentral:rRNA from 1 species